UACAGAGGUCCCAAGCGUUGUUCGGAUUCAUUGGGCGUAAAGGGUGCGUAGGUGGGCAAGUAAGUCAGUGGUGAAAUCUCCGGGCUUAACCCGGAAACUGCCAUUGAUACUAUUUGUCUUGAAUACUGUGGAGGUCAGCGGAAUAUGUCAUGUAGCGGUGAAAUGCUUAGAUAUGACAUAGAACACCAAUUGCGAAGGCAGCUGGCUACACAAAUAUUGACACUGAGGCACGAAAGCGUGGGGAUCAAACAGG
rnacentral:rRNA from 1 species